rnacentral:rRNA from 1 species
GAUGAACGCUGGCGGCGUGCCUAAUACAUGCAAGUCGAGCGAACAGAUAAGGAGCUUGCUCCUUUGACGUUAGCGGCGGACGGGUGAGUAACACGUGGGUAACCUACCUAUAAGACUGGGAUAACUUCGGGAAACCGGAGCUAAUACCGGAUAACAUUUGGAACCGCAUGGUUCUAAAGUGAAAGAUGGUUUUGCUAUCACUUAUAGAUGGACCCGCGCCGUAUUAGCUAGUUGGUAAGGUAACGGCUUACCAAGGCAACGAUACGUAGCCGACCUGAGCGGGUGAGCGGCCACACUGGAACUGAGACACGGUCCAGAGUCCAACGGGAGGCAGCAGUAGGGAAUCUUCCGCAAUGGGCGAAAGCCUGACGGGGCAGCGCCGCGUGAGUGAUGAAGGGUUUCGGCUCGUAAAACUCUGUUAUUAGGGAAGAACAAACGUGUAAGUAACUGUGCACGUCUUGACGGUACCUAAUCAGAAAGCCACGGCUAACUACGUG